rnacentral:tRNA from 1 species
AUCUAGGUGGCUCAGUGGAUAGAGCACCAGGCCUUUAAUCAGGAGGGCCUAGUUCAAAUCUAGCCUCAGACA